ACGCUUGAACUUUGUUUUUCCU
rnacentral:miRNA from 1 species